CUACGUGCCAGCAGCCGCGGUAAUACGGAAGGUCCAGGCGUUAUCCGGAUUUAUUGGGUUUAAAGGGAGCGUAGGCGGAUUAUUAAGUCAGUGGUGAAAGACGGUGGCUCAACCAUCGUUAGCCAUUGAAACUGGUAGUCUUGAGUGCAGACAGGGAUGCUGGAACUCGUGGUGUAGCGGUGAAAUGCUUAGAUAUCACGAUGAACUCCGAUCGCGAAGGCAGGUGUCCGGGCUGCAACUGACGCUGAGGCUCGAAAGUGUGGGUAUCAAACAGGAUUAGAUACCCUGGUAGUCCACACAGUAAACGAUGUAUACUCGCGGUUUGCGAUAGAAUGUAAGCCGCCAAGCGAAAGCAUUAAGUAUACCACCUGGGGAGUACGCCGGCAACGGUGAAACUCAAAGGAAUUGACGGGGGCCCGCACAAGCGGAGGAACAUGUGGUUUAAUUCGAUGAUACGCGAGGAACCUUACCCGGGCUUGAAC
rnacentral:rRNA from 1 species